CCAGGCGCACCGGCCGGCCUCGGAGCUCUACCAGCAGGCUUUCAUGGGAGCGGAGGUGCCCACGUUUCCAUUGUGCGGUAACCGCGCUUCAUCACAGCCACCUCCAAUCGAGGCCGCACGGUGUCCCCAGAACCACGCUCGGUACAACCUGCCCCGGCCGCUGCGCUCGACUUGGGAGCGCGCCCCGCCCCGAGCGCACGACCUCCCUUCCCUCUCCGCGACUUGAGCUUGCUUCCCGGAAAGCCAGUGUAGUGGCAGCGGUUUGCCUCACAGCGCCCCUGGCAGCACUGAGAAGUGAAGGAAUAUUUGGGAGGAUCAGAAGCUUGGUCCUGAUUUUGCCAUCAACAGGAACUUGAUGACUUCAAGGGAGUCCCCAAACCCUGGGUUUCUGUUUUCUCAACUCUAACAUGAGGGGCUAGAUGCAUCUGGUUUAGUUAGUCUCCAUGAUGGUUUAGUUCGUCUCCAUGAUCCUGUGAAUUUCAGAUGUUGAAAAUCUUCGGAAAAGCCCUGAAAGAUGAACAGUGGUCUCAAAUAGUCAAGACCCCCUGCUGGGAGGAGCUUCUAUCCUGCUCUGUGGAA
rnacentral:lncRNA from 10 species